rnacentral:lncRNA from 1 species
CCUUAACCCAGCCAACCCCUGAACAGCUGCAAGUGAUAUGUCGACUAAGCUCUAGUUCUAAUCCUUGGGUCCAGCUAGGCAUAGAUGAACACUCUAGAAGAGAGGAGGUUAACAGAGCUUACAGAAAACUAGCUGUACUACUUCAUCCAGACAAAACUCAGGCUGUUGGAACUGCUGAAGCGUUUAAAGUUCUAGGACAAGCAAGAAAUCAUAUUCUAAAAACUAUUGUAUCCUAAAUUAUAGUUUUAUCAUUUAUGAAAGGAAUUGAGUUUUCACCACAAGCUCAACAUUUCUAAUACCUUUA